AUGGACUUGGGGUUUAUUUGGUUUUUCCUUGUUUUUACUAUAAAAGGUAUGCAGUGUGAGGUGCAGCUGGUGGAGUCUGGAGGAGGGUUAGUGCAGCAUGGGAAGACCCAGAAACUCUCCUGUGCGGCCUCUGGAUUCACCUUCAGUAGCUAUGCCAUGAACUGGGUCCGCCAGGCUCCAGGGAAGGGGCUGGAGUGGGUCGCAUAUAUUAAUGCUGACAGUAGUUACAUUUACUAUGCUAACGCUGUUAAGGGCAGAUUCACCAUCUCCAGAGACAAUUCCAAGAACUCCAUGAAUCUGCAAAUGAACGACCUCAAGUUUGAGGACAAGCCAUGUAUUGCUGUGGAAGAGACACAGUGA